GAGAGAUGUGAAAGAGAGAGAGAGAGAGAGAGAGAGAGAGAGAGAGAGAGAGAGGGGUUUCCCAGUGAAGCAGUAGCUUCGGAACACACAGAAGAUCCGAGGGCCUUUUCUGCUGAGGGAGAAGCAACUUGUGCUACUGAGAGCUGAAUGGAACCGCCCAGUUCAGGAGAGGGCCACUGAGGAAGGAAGGUAGCGAAAGCGGGACUGCCUGGCCUCCCUGGGGGCCUGGCUAGUUGGUUGGCUGGUUUGUGCUAAAUCCACAAAAUGAAGGAAGGAAGAAGUGGCUCCUGCUUAACAGGGUAUGCGCAUGUGCUUCAGCAAGGACCUCGUCCUCAAUAUGCUCUCCUGGGAUGAGAAGCCUCUUGUGUGCACCCAGAAGCAAAUCCACAGCAUCUCCCAUCUCCAUCAACUAAUUCCCAAGACAUGGCUGGAACUCAGAGAAAAACCAAUGUGGUCACUCCUACUCUGGAAACAGAAAAGACUGUCUUGUUGUGAGCGCGAGCCAGCUGAGUAUCUCACCGCGGUUCCUGUAUCACACCUCACACUGACUUGUUGGCAGAUGAAUCCACCAUUUCUUGAUAUGAGAGGAACAGAAACUAACCACCCAGACGAAAUCACUGGCUCCUGGGCAUGCUUUUUUGAGAUGCGCACUGGCCAACUUUUCAAGAUUGCAAGGAUCCGGAACCUACUUGGAGUAGUGGAUAAAUAGCCCUACAAGAGCAGGUAGUAACCUAAAGGGAAUCUCUUCCCUUUGGCCCUGGAAGAAUCCCAGGUGAGAUCCACAAGCCGCCGCCCCUGGAGGAAUGCAGCCUCUAGAUAUAGGAGGGAGUGGUUGUUCCCCUUCCGCAGACUCAGCUCAGAGAGGACACUGGCCCAGAGUAAGGGGGCUGAUUGAUCCCACAGGCAGAACCACUGCUUCGAGUCCGUCUUAGCAUUUCUGUUGCUUCAAUGAAACACCAUGACCGAAAGCAAGUUUGAAGAGGAAAGGGUCUAUUUUGUGUACACUUCUACAUCACCGCUCAUCAUCAAAGGAACUCAGGAGAGGAACCUGGAAGUGGGAGCUGAUGCAGAGUCCAUGGAUAGGGGCUGCUUACUGGCUUGUUCCUCAUGGCUUGCUCAGCCUGCUUCCUUAUAGAACCCAGGGGUGACUCCGUUCACAAUGGGUUGGGCCCUUCCAGGCUGAACACUCAUUAAGAAAAUAAUCCAUAGGGUUGCCUGCCUAUAGCCCGAUGUUAUGCAAUUAUUUCCUCAGUUGGGGUUCACUUCUCUCAGGUGACUCUAACUUGUGUCAAGUUGACAUUAAACUAUGCAGCACAGAGUCUUUGGAUGACUGGCAGUCACUUCCUGCAGACUUCCUGACCCUAUACCCCCUGACCUCUAAACCUCACACACUCCUCCACACCAACUACACACAUGCUGGGAGCCUGAGGAUAAACAAAGCCCACGAAGAUCAGCUGGAGCAGAAGCAAGGGAAAGCUCUGGUCUAUCCUCACCUCAGUGAGGAGUUUCGGAGAAAGAGUACUCAUACAGCACACAGGUCUCAGCUCUGUCUUGGUGGUUCCCUUCCUCUGUUAUUGGCUGUAUGUUUCUCCGUGUGUGCAUCUCUUCCCACCCCACCCCCAUCCCUCUCCUCACUCAUUCCCAUGGGACAAAUGCACAAGAAGCGCCUGAUGUCUUUUCUGGCCGGUUAAGGAACACUGGGGUGCUUCGCUCAGGGAAGGCCACUUUCAAGUUAAGGCCAUGGGGUUUCCGGAGCCGGCCCUUGAAAGCAGGCUACCAGAGAUCAGUCAAUGCUGAGUUUUGUGAUUUGGCCCCAAGAACACUUUGAGCACAGAGCUACACUGUGCUGUGAAAAAGUCAGUUGUCGUAGUCUUAGAUGUCUCCGUGAAGACACCAAUAGGCAACACUGGACCCUAAAGUUGAAAUCUUGGAUGUUUAGUCUGAAAUGAGGACUUUCAAGUAAUUCUCAUUCGUUGGCAUCACAAUUGUGAGGUUUCUGUAGCUACCAUAAUGAAACACAAUCAUUGCUUAUCCAAGCAAGCUGAGGAGAGAGAGUGUGGUUAGCUCAAUCGACCGUUAACGCCUCGGCUCUGAGGUGGUUAAUUUUCUUCUCCUUCCUGUGGGUACAUUUCUAGAGGACAGGGAGAGUGAGUGGGGUCAGAGGUCAAGGCCAGUGGUCAAGCCCAUCUGUCGCCUUGGCUAGAGCCAGCUGCCUCUCCACCAAUUGUUGUCAAGAGUGUGCAAGCUGUUGCACUAAAGAUGGUGUGUGGCACUGCCCAGGUCCAUAGCUAACAGACCCAGCCAUCUUUCAGAGUUCCCCAAUGCCAUUUUCAUUGUCACCACGGACACAGCCCCAGACUUAAAGGAGCUGUCUCAAUGACAUCGUUCCUCAAACUAGAAUCCUAAUGUGUUUUCUCCCUCCAGAAUUCCAGGGAAAUGAACAGAACAGAAUCAUCAAAACAUUUAAAUAUAUACCUUCUCUACCAGUUACACCUCACCAGGUGUAGACAGUCAGCUGAACAAAAGCUGCAAGUCACAAAAUUGACCCUUCAUUCUAGAAAACCCAGAAAACCCAGCCACUUUGUAGUUUUCCUGGUAUUGUUAUAACUCUGUGUGUGUGUGUGUGUGUGUGUGUGUACAGUCCACAUUAUGAUCACGUAAUGGGCAGGCCAUUCCAAUGGGCAAUUUACUCUCUGGGAAAUCAAGGAGGCCUGAAACACAUGCCUGCUCCUUCCCAGGUCCCUCAGAGCUAUUUAGAAAAUUACUAUUGUGAUUCAGAAAAUGCUCUACCAGCCUGAGGAAUUAACCUUCUUCCUAAUACGUCUAAUUUACUGGUUCUUCAAGUAAUUGCUGUGUUAAAGUUGCUGCAAGUCCAGGAUCUAAAUAAUCACGCAAAGGCUACUUUUACGAAAGCUCGGUGUGAUCUGGCGCGCUGAGUGCGCUGUGUGUAACCUUGUUAAAUCCUCACAACAACCCGGGUGAGAGAGGCAUUACCAUCCCCGGCUUUAACUGAAGUGCAAAUUACGAUGCAGAGCAAGAAGUCAUUUGCUUGUGGUCUCUUGGCUGCCCAAGCAUGGUACACACGCUAUGACUAGGGUUCAUUCACACUGGGAGGCUCUGCUGGGAUUUGAACACUGAUCUAAACCUUCACUCACUGAGCCUGUGAGUAGUUCUACCGAAUGUAACCUGUGCUGUAGUGAAAAGGGAGAGUGUGUGCAUUCAGGUGUGAGUGACAGGACACCUGCUGGCUUUUAGUUACUUAUUUAUUUGACACUUUCUCUGCUGCAUAUAUGUAUUCAUUUGUGUUCAGAUCUGUGUUUAUGUGCAUGCUGGAGGACCAGGGGUCAACCUCCAGUGGUGUUCCUUAGGUCUUUUUAAGACAGGACCUCCCAUUGGGUCCCAAAGCUUUCUGAUUAGGCCACAAUGGCAGACUAACAAGCCCCAGCGAUGCUCUUGUUUGUCUCCUCAUAACUGGGAUUGUAAGAGCUCACUAUCAUGUCCAGCUUCUUAUGUGGGUGCUGGGUAUUGAACUCAGGCCCUCAGGGUUGUCGGUCCCCAUCUGAACUGUCUCCCUAACCCCUGGUCAGACACAUUCAAUAGCGCCCCAUCAUCUGAAAGCAUGUAGCAUUACAUUAGAAUAGGCUAUGCUCCGGGGGAUAGGAUGCACAAAGUUUCUAGAAGUUAAUUAAUCUUUAGAAUUAGUAGAAUCUAUGGGUAGAUUCUUAGCUUACAGGAAGCAUCCUUCUGAAAACUAAUGUACCGUGCCUGCAGCUGAGGGUUUCUAUCAAGCCUGGCCGAGUUUAUCCUCCAGAGAAAAGCAGGAGAUGCCUGGUUCAAAUAGUGUAACCCCAGGGCCCCAGGACUCCAUGAGACACCGACACCUUUAUAAGAAAUAGUGGGGGAAAGGCACACUGAACUAAUGGGGAGCACGCUGUAGCAUAACCUCCAUUAGGUCAGCCAGACACCCUCAAAUCCUCACUAAUGCCCAGUAUGCCACUGACAUAAAGAGCUCUGGGUGCCAAGGGGAGCAGUUUCAUGGACUGUUAUCUACAUGGCCCCAGAGCACAAAACACAAAACUCUCUCAGAAUAUUUCCAGAAGGUUCUGACAUAAAUUCCUGGGGUAAUGAGACCAUUCUCUGCCCUCCCGGCUUCCAGACGCACAGGCAGCCUCACGGAAACCCCAAGGCCAUCUCAGCGGAGAUGACAAAGGACGUCUGCCAGUCACAA